AAAGGUUGUGAAAUCAUCCUACACAGCUCUCCCAGCUGAGGACCAAGCAUUCAAAUGUGGGAACCUGUGGGAGACAUCUCACACUCAAACCACACCCCCACUACCUGGCGGGAAUUCAACACCAACUCCAUCCGAAGAUAUUAUGAAAUCAGCCCAGCUCUACCAGGAUGGGAGAGUCGGACCAGGAAGCCCCUCUGCCACAUCACAACUCUGAAGUUCAAGAAUUCUCAAAACCAGCCAGCCACUCUCUCAGAGCAUUGCUGAACAGGACGCUAAGCAAGGUGAGCAAUGGACUCCAGUUUCAACCUUCUUCAGGGACUGAAACAGCUUUCCCAACACCACGUAUUGAAGAGUCUGUUAGUUCUUCCCAUCCGUGAACAUGGAAGAUGGUGCAGAAAACUUGUGCCAUGUUCAGACCUACCAGCAGCCAUCAGGGACCCAAAGAAGUUGGAAGAGAGACGUGAAUAGGAUAUCAUACAAAGCUGCUCUCUAAAUCGCCUAAUUUCACAUAAGGAAAUGGCCAAUUAAAGUCACAACCCAAAUAACAACUAAUCUGCUUCCAAGAGAAUUCACAUCUGAUAAGGAGUUACCUCUGCUAGGAUGACCCCACCUCCUCUGGCCACUCUUCUCUGUACCCACCUUUGUGUAUCCUUAUGGGACAUCUCUAUGCUUUGUCUGAUCCCUGUCCAUACUUGGGGCUUGGUGAAGGGAAUGGUCUAGAAAGCCAUCUUGCAGGAUAAGAAUAACUGCCAACUUGCAUUCCCAGGGAAGAGGGGAUUCAAUAGAUCUUAGUAGCGGGAAUCUCCUCUGAUGGCAUGAGGCAUGUGGACGAUGUCGUACCUGUACAGCCUGGUCUCUCCAACAGGAGAUUAGCUUCAGAAGUGAGGUGUCAGCCUCAGGUGUAUGAUACUCAUUCCUACCUAGAAAUGCAGAAAACUCAUUUUAGUAAUGCAACUCAUUCUCAGUCCCUGAUGCUGUCUGCACAUUAGUACCAUCUGGGGAUGCUUGUUUUUACAAACACCAAGCUCAGGUUCAACCUUUCAAGGGGUGUGAUUUAGCAGGUCCAAGGAUGGAAACCGGUAGCCAGUAGCACUCUGGGAAAGUAUCUCAGAUGACAUUCAGAUACAGUCAGACUAAUUAGACAAACAUAGACACUGUCAAGCUGCAUUUACUUUUAUACUUAAUUCAUCUUUCUACUCUUUGCCAAACUAGGUCAAAGCACUGGAUUUUUCUGUUUCUUACCUCCUCAUGCAAAAAGCUCAGGCUUGCCACAAGUUGGCACCCAUCAUAGGUAAAAUCAGAGACUGCAUUGGCUUGUUCUCAUCCAGCCCUUCAUCUCCUACUGAUGGGUAAAACAUUAAUGCUUCAUGCUGCGUGGUGAGGCAUUGUUUUUUCUAAGGCUGUCUCAUUUGAUACCCUUUAUAUCUUUGCCUUAAGUCCAGUGGGAAAUUCUAACUUUGAGAAGGGGCUUGUUCUAUGUACAUUGAUCCAUACCGAGACUAACAGUUCAUCACACAAAAGAGCAAUUAAUAAAAAUAAAAGUGCCUUCUCAUUAAUUGAAAAUGUAUAUAUAAUCAUCUAAA